rnacentral:rRNA from 1 species
AGAGUUUGAUUCUGGCUCAGGAUAACGUUGGCUGUGUGCCUAAGGUAUGCAAGUCGAACGAACUCGCGCUGUGAGUGGCAAACGGGUGAGUAACACGUGGAUAACCUGCCUUAAAGUCAUGAACAGCUCAUCGAAAGAUGGGAUAAUACAUGAUACUUACAAUUUCUAUCACUUUGUAAGUAAAGCUCCGGCGCUUUAAGAGGGGUCCGCGUCCUAUCAGCUUGUUGGUGAGGUAAUAGCUCACCAAGGCUAAGACGGGUAGCUGGCGUGAGAGCGCGGUCAGCCACCAUGGAACUGAGACACGGUCCAUACUCCUACGGGAGGCAGCAAUUAGGAAUCUUGCGCAAUGGGGGCAACCCUGACGCAGCGACACAGCGUGGAGGCGGUUCGUUGACUCCUUUUAUGUGGGAUAGAACCAUAUGAAUAAGCACCUGCAACUACGUGCCAGAAGCAUCGGUGAUACGUAGGGUGCGAACGUUAUCCGGAUUUAUUGGGCGUAUAGAGAGCGUAGGCGUUUCUGUAAGUCUAAAGUUAAAGCCCACGGCUCAACCGUGGAAAAGCUUUGGAAACUGCAGAAAUUGAGACAGGAAGAGGCGAAUGGAAUUCCCAGUGGAGCGGUGAAAUGCGUUGAUAUUGGGAGGAACAUCAGUGGCGAAGGCGAUUCGCUGGUCCUGUCUGACGCUGAGGCUCGAAAGCGUGNGUAGCAAAACGGAUUAGAUACCCUGGUAGUCCACGCCGUANACGAUGAAUACUAGGUGUAAAACUCGGUGCCGCAGCUAACGCAUUAAGUAUUCCGCCUGGGGAGUACGCACGCAAGUGUGAAAACUCAAGGAAUUGACGGGGGCCCGCACAAGCGGUGGCAUGUGGGUUUAUUCGACGCAACGGGAAGAACCUUACCAGGACAUCCGUGACAACUUAUGAAAGUAGGUCUUUUUCUGACGAAGGUGGUGCAUGGUUGUCGUCAGCUCGUGUCGUGAGAUGUUGGGUUAAGUCCCGCAACGAGCGCAACCCUUACGGUUAGUUGCCAGCGGUUAAAGCCGGGCACUCUAGAAAACGGAGGAAGGUGGGGAUGACGUCAAAUCAUCAUGCCCUUUAUAUCGUGGGGUACACACGUGCUACAAUGGCCUGUACAGAGGGCAGCGAAGGGGCAACCUGGAGCGAUCCCAAAAGCAGGUCUCAGUUGGGAUUGCAGGCUGCAAUUGGCCUGCAUGAAGUGGGAAUGGUUAGUAAUCGCAGGUCAGCAAGCUGCGGUGAAUAGGUUCCCGGGGUCUG